rnacentral:tRNA from 1 species
GUUUCUGUAGUGUAGUGGUUAUCACGUUUGCAUCAUACGCAAAAAGUCUCUGGUUCGAAACCAGACAGAAACA